CGGAACGGGUGAGUAACGCGUGAGGAACCUGCCUCAAAGAGGGGGACAACAGUUGGAAACGACUGCUAAUACCGCAUAAGCCCACGGCUCGGCGUCGAGCAGAGGGAAAAGGAGUGAUCCGCUUUGAGAUGGCCUCGCGUCCGAUUAGCUAGUUGGUGAGGUAACGGCCCACCAAGGCGACGAUCGGUAGCCGGACUGAGAGGUUGAACGGCCACAUUGGGACUGAGACACGGCCCAG
rnacentral:rRNA from 1 species